GAGUUAUGCGUCCACAAACGUAGCAGGUGGGCUGGUGGAGUAAAAACCAGAGGCGGUUGGUGGGCCGUGAAAGCCAUGGGCCUAUCAUGGUCUGGGUGGCCCAGAGUUGGGAAGCUGCUGUCAUAACCAUGAUUCCUGCCAUUAUAAUUGCCACUCUCACCCCCAAGCCUGGUGGCCAGACUCUGGAAUGUUCUCUUAGCCUGUGUCUGGCAGACACCCCCAGAGGAAUUUGUGCCUGGGCCACCUCACUUACUCUCCCGGCUUCUAGCUCCUCCUGCUCCCAGAUACUUCUGGCCACCAGAGCUGACCCUGUCCCUCCCAUGGCUUCUCUACAGGGGAACAAACGCCUCAGUGUGAUGUUGGGGGUCUGGACUCUUUGAUCUCAAAUGUCCAGAUCCCAAGUUUAAAUACUGCAUGGGACAUUCUGCCCCCAAAUCCCCCUGUUCCCCAAGCCUCUGCCCCAAUGUCCCCUCUACCCACAAUGCCCUUCUCCAUCACCAUAGUCACCAUUCUGGUCUCCCAGACAACCCUCUCUCAGGUUCCAGUGGCUGAAUGCUCCUCUCAGAGGCCCAAGCAAAGGAAAGGGAGAUCAACCAACUGUGCAGCUGAGGACCCAUGGCAAUGAGCUUUCAAGAAAAUGUAACCCUGGCCAUAGCCGCGUUCACCAUCCUCGCCUCCAUCUACUUCUUCAACAAGGCUCAGCAAUGAGAAGACACAGGACAGCCUAAUCCAAGAGGCCUUGCCUCUGCCCCAGCCAUGACUCUGGCCUGAGACCAAAUAAAUGUGACAGAAUCAGCACAUUCUGCUCCAUCCCUCCACCCUGGCCACUCUGUUUGAGGGUCAGGCCUCUGUCAGAAGGAGGAGGGCCUGACGUCUGGGCCUGAGGGAGGAGGGGGCUGAGGGCCU